rnacentral:rRNA from 1 species
GACGAACGCUGGCGGCGUGCUUAACACAUGCAAGUCGAACGGGAUUUCGUAAACAGAAGCCUCGGUGGAAGAUUACUAAUGAGAGUGGCGAACGGGUGAGUAACGCGUUAGCAACCUGCCUAUGACAGUGGGAUAGCCUCGGGAAACCGGGAUUAAUACCGCAUAAAAUCGUAGAAACACAUGUUUUAACGGUCAAAGAUUUAUCGGUCAUAGAUGGGCUCGCAUCUGAUUAGCGAGUUGGUGAGAUAACAGCCCACCAAGGCGACGAUCAGUAGCCGGUAUGAGAGGAUGGGCGGCGACAUUGGAAGUAAGACACGGUCCAAAAUCCUACGGGAGGCAGGAAUGGGGAAUAUUGCAAAAUGGGGGGAACGCUGAUGCAGCGACGCCGGGUGAACGCAGAAGGUAUUCGUAUCGUAAAGUUCUGUCAUAUGGGAAGAUAAUGACAGUACCAAAGAAGAAAGCUCCGGCUAAAUACGUG